UCUAAUAUGGCAGAUUAGUGCAAUAGAUUUAAAUUCUAUAAAUAUAUUUAUAAAAUAUUAUUAGAA
rnacentral:tRNA from 1 species